rnacentral:rRNA from 1 species
AUUGAACGCUGGCGGCAGGCCUAACACAUGCAAGUCGAGCGGAGCGGCGGACGGGUGAGUAAUGCCUAGGAAUCUGCAUGGUCGUGGGGGAUAACGUCCGGAACCGGGCGCUAAUACCGCAUACUAUCAGAUUAGCCUAGGUCGGAUUAGCUAGUUGGUGGGGGAAAGGCCUACCAGGGCGACGAUCCGUAACUGGUCGGGGAGGAGGAUCAGUCACACUGGAAGUGAGACACGGUCCAGACGCCUACGAGAGGCAGCAGUGGGGAAUAUUGGGCAAGAGGGGAGAACCUGGUACAGCCAUGCCGCGUGUGAUAAGAAGGUCUUCGGAUUGUAAAGCACUUUAAGUUGGUAGGCGUUACCAACAGAAUAAGCACCGGCUAACUUCGUGCCAGCAGCCGCGGUAAUAC